AUUGAACGCUGGCGGCAGGCCUAACACAUGCAAGUCGAGCGCGCGGCGGACGGGUGAGUAAUGCCUGGGAAUUGCCCAGUCGAGGGGUAUAACAGUUGGAAACUACUUCUUAUACCGCAUACGAUUGGAUUGCCCAGGUGGGAUUAGCUAGUUGGUGAGGUAAUGGCUCACCAAGGCGACUCUCCCUAGCUGGUCUGAGAGGAUGAUCAGCCACACUGGAACUGAGACACGGUCCAGACUCCUACGGGAGGCAGCAGUGGGGAAUAUUGCACAAUGGGGGAAACCCUGAUGCAGCCAUGCCGCGUGUGUGAAGAAGGCCUUAGGGUUGUAAAGCACUUUCAGCGAGGAGGCGUUACUCGCAGAAGAAGCACCGGCUAACUCCGUGCCACCCGCCGCGGUAAUUC
rnacentral:rRNA from 1 species